rnacentral:SRP_RNA from 1 species
CGGCGGACGCUGCCGUCAUGCCCAGCGGGUCAGGUCCGGAAGGAAGCAGCCCAGGCGUGACUUCACGGCGCGGGUCGCGCGUCCGGCCUUC